GCCCUCAUGGCUCAGUUGGAUAGAGCGUCUGCCUAGUAAGCAGAAGGUCCCGAGUUCGAAUCUCGGUGAGGGCA